AGAUUAAGUUAUUAAGGGCGCACGGUGGAUGCCUUGGCACUAGAAGCCGAUGAAGGACGUUACUAACGACGAUAUGCUUUGGGGAGCUGUAAGUAAGCUUUGAUCCAGAGAUUUCCGAAUGGGGAAACCCAGCAUGAGUUAUGUCAUGUUAUCGAUAUGUGAAUACAUAGCAUAUCAGAAGGCACACCCGGAGAACUGAAACAUCUUAGUACCCGGAGGAAGAGAAAGAAAAUUCGAUUCCCUUAGUAGCGGCGAGCGAAACGGGAAGAGCCCAAACCAACAAGCUUGCUUGUUGGGGUUGUAGGACACUCUAUACGGAGUUACAAAGGACGACAUUAGACGAAUCAUCUGGAAAGAUGAAUCAAAGAAGGUAAUAAUCCUGUAGUCGAAAAUGUUGUCUCUCUUGAGUGGAUCCUGAGUACGACGGAGCACGUGAAAUUCCGUCGGAAUCAGGGAGGACCAUCUCCUAAGGCUAAAUACUCUCUAGUGACCGAUAGUGAACCAGUACCGUGAGGGAAAGGUGAAAAGCACCCCGGAAGGGGAGUGAAAUAGAACCUGAAACCGUGUGCUUACAAGUAGUCAGAGCCCGUUAAUGGGUGAUGGCGUGCCUUUUGUAGAAUGAACCGGCGAGUUACGAUUUGAUGCAAGGUUAAGCAGUAAAUGUGGAGCCGUAGCGAAAGCGAGUCUGAAUAGGGCGU
rnacentral:rRNA from 2 species